UACGGAGGGUGCGAGCGUUGUCCGGAAUCACUGGGCGUAAAGGGCGCGUAGGCGGCCUGAUAAGUAGGGGGUGAAAUCCUGCGGCUUAACCGCAGGGCUGCCUUCUAAACUGUCAGGCUCGAGCACAGUAGAGGCAGGUGGAAUUCCCGGUGUAGCGGUGGAAUGCGUAGAGAUCGGGAAGAACAUCAGUGGCGAAGGCAGUUCUCUGGGCCGUAACUGACGCUGAGGAGCGAAAGCGUGGGGAGCGAACAGG
rnacentral:rRNA from 1 species